UACGUAGGCAGCAAGCGUUGUUCGGAGUUACUGGGCGUAAAGGGUGCGUAGGCGGCUUUUUAAGUUUGGUGUGAAAUCUCCCGGCUCAACUGGGAGGGUGCGCCGAAUACUGAGAGGCUAGAGUGUGGGAGAGGAAAGUGGAAUUCCUGGUGUAGCGGUGAAAUGCGUAGAUAUCGGGAGGAACACCAGUGGCGAAGGCGAUCAUCUGGGAUUAACCUGACGCUGAGGAGCGAAAGCCAGGGGAGCAAACGGG
rnacentral:rRNA from 1 species